ACUAUAGGACCUGAAAACAAUUUUCUAAGAAGGAGAGAAAGUCAGGGUAGAGAAGGUUGUUUGAUUUCAAAACACAACAGGAGAUCUUAAAACAUCCUAACUGCAAAUCUCAGACUGCAUAAUACAAAAUCAUGAAUUCACUAGAGCCUCAUCCACAUUCUGUUAUGAAGAAUUCCAUAUAUUCUG